AGACCAUCCAAGAAGACAGUGCAGCCACCUCUGAGAGCCUGGAUGUGAUGGCGUCACAGAAGAGACCCUCCCAGAGGCACGGAUCCAAGUACCUGGCCACAGCAAGUACCAUGGACCAUGCCAGGCAUGGCUUCCUCCCAAGGCACAGAGACACGGGCAUCCUUGACUCCAUUGGGCGCUUCUUUGGCGGUGACAGGGGUGCGCCCAAGCGGGGCUCUGGCAAGGACUCACACCAUGCAGCAAGAACUGCUCACUACGGCUCCCUGCCCCAGAAGUCACACGGCCGGACCCAAGAUGAAAACCCCGUAGUCCACUUCUUCAAGAACAUUGUGACACCUCGCACACCACCCCCGUCGCAGGGAAAGGGGAGAGGACUGUCCCUGAGCAGAUUUAGCUGGGGGGCCGAAGGCCAGAGACCAGGAUUUGGCUACGGAGGCAGAGCGUCCGACUAUAAAUCGGCUCACAAGGGAUUCAAGGGAGUCGAUGCCCAGGGCACGCUUUCCAAAAUUUUUAAGCUGGUAAGGUACCCUCUGCUCAGCUCCACUGAGCGGGGACUAAAAGGUCC
rnacentral:sRNA from 1 species